rnacentral:rRNA from 1 species
GGGUGAGUAACACGUGGGUAACCUGCCCAAGAGACUGGGAUAACACCUGGAAACAGAUGCUAAUACCGGAUAACAACACUAGACGCAUGUCUAGAGUUUGAAAGAUGGUUCUGCUAUCACUCUUGGAUGGACCUGCGGUGCAUUAGCUAGUUGGUAAGGUAACGGCUUACCAAGGCAAUGAUGCAUAGCCGAGUUGAGAGACUGAUCGGCCACAUUGGGACUGAGACACGGCCCAAACUCCUACGGGAGGCAGCAGUAGGGAAUCUUCCACAAUGGACGAAAGUCUGAUGGAGCAACGCCGCGUGAGUGAAGAAGGGUUUCGGCUCGUAAAGCUCUGUUGGUAGUGAAGAAAGAUAGAGGUAGUAACUGGCCUUUAUUUGACGGUAAUUACUUAGAAAGUCACGGCUAACUACGUGCCAGCAGCCGCGGUAAUACGUAGGUGGCAAGCGUUGUCCGGAUUUAUUGGGCGUAAAGCGAGUGCAGGCGGUUCAAUAAGUCUGAUGUGAAAGCCUUCGGCUCAACCGGAGAAUUGCAUCAGAAACUGUUGAACUUGGGUGCAGAAGAGGAGAGUGGAACUCCAUGUGUAGCGGUGGAAUGCGUAGAUAUAUGGAAGAACACCAGUGGCGAAGGCGGCUCUCUGGUCUGCAACUGACGCUGAGGCUCGAAAGCAUGGGCAGCGAACAGGAUUAGAUACCCUGGUAGUCCAUGCCGUAAACGAU